GACGAACGCUGGCGGCGUGCCUAAUACAUGCAAGUCGAGCGGACUUGACAGAGCCUGCUCUGUUCAAGUUAGCGGCGGACGGGUGAGUAACACGUGGGCAACCUGCCCUGCAGAUUGGGAUAACUCCGGGAAACCGGGGCUAAUACCGAAUAACAUUGAAAACCUCAUGGUUUUCUUUUAAAAGGCGGCUUCGGCUGUCACUGCAGGAUGGGCCCGCGGCGCAUUAGCUAGUUGGUGAGGUAACGGCUCACCAAGGCGACGAUGCGUAGCCGACCUGAGAGGGUGAUCGGCCACACUGGGACUGAGACGCGGCCCAGACUCCUACGGGAGGCAGCAGUAGGGAAUCUUCCGCAAUGGACGAAGGUCUGACGGAGCAACGCCGCGUGAGUGAAGAAGGUUUUCGGAUCGUAAAACUCUGUUGUUAGGGAAGAACAAGUACCGGAGUAACUGCCGGUACCUUGACGGUACCUGACCAGAAAGCCACGGCUAACUACGUGCCAGCCGCCGCAGUAACAC
rnacentral:rRNA from 1 species